UCUCUUUGGAACCCCGACUCCUGUCGCUGGCCUGUGAUUUGGCUGUGCAGCCAGUGUCUCCAUGUAUUUCCGCAUCUUCUCAACCAUCCAGGAUGGCAGAACAAAGGAUUUCAGCUCCUCCAACUUCAGGUCCAAGCAUCCUCUGAAGGAGACAUGGGAUGGACAUUAAAGGGAGGGUGACGGUCUCGUCCAUGUGCCUAGUGAGGCAGAAGGCAGGAUGGGGAAAGGGGCCUUCGUUGUACCUGUAGUCAUCACUGGCAGCCAAGUCCCGGAUGUCUUCUUCAAUGAGAAGGGGCCCAGAGUCUCGGCCACUGUCAAUGUUCACACAAGCAUACCUUGGGGCCUUCUCGGCGAAUUGGUUCACAGGAUUUUUGUUUCCAUCUGCUCAGAAGGAAAAAAGACAGCAGCUGCCCUGAGCUCAACCCGGAUGUAAGUGGCUUCCUGAUGUCCCCCAAGU
rnacentral:lncRNA from 1 species